rnacentral:rRNA from 1 species
AGAGUUCGAUCCUGGCUCAGGAUGAACGCUGGCGGCGCGCCUAACACAUGCAAGUCGAACGGCACCUAUCUUCGGAUAGAAGCGAGUGGCGAACGGCUGAGUAACACGUGGAGAACCUGCCCCCUCCCCCGGGAUAGCCGCCCGAAAGGACGGGUAAUACCGGAUACCCCGGGGUGCCGCAUGGCACCCCGGCUAAAGCCCCGACGGGAGGGGAUGGCUCCGCGGCCCAUCAGGUAGACGGCGGGGUGACGGCCCACCGUGCCGACAACGGGUAGCCGGGUUGAGAGACCGACCGGCCAGAUUGGGACUGAGACACGGCCCAGACUCCUACGGGAGGCAGCAGUGGGGAAUCUUGCGCAAUGGGGGGAACCCUGACGCAGCGACGCCGCGUGCGGGACGGAGGCCUUCGGGUCGUAAACCGCUUUCAGCAGGGAAGAGUCAAGACUGUACCUGCAGAAGAAGCCCCGGCUAACUACGUGCCAGCAGCCGCGGUAAUACGUAGGGGGCGAGCGUUAUCCGGAUUCAUUGGGCGUAAAGCGCGCGUAGGCGGCCCGGCAGGCCGGGGGUCGAAGCGGGGGGCUCAACCCCCCGAAGCCCCCGGAACCUCCGCGGCUUGGGUCCGGUAGGGGAGGGUGGAACACCCGGUGUAGCGGUGGAAUGCGCAGAUAUCGGGUGGAACACCGGUGGCGAAGGCGGCCCUCUGGGCCGAGACCGACGCUGAGGCGCGAAAGCUGGGGGAGCGAACAGGAUUAGAUACCCUGGUAGUCCCAGCCGUAAACGAUGGACGCUAGGUGUGGGGGGACGAUCCCCCCGUGCCGCAGCCAACGCAUUAAGCGUCCCGCCUGGGGAGUACGGCCGCAAGGCUAAAACUCAAAGGAAUUGACGGGGGCCCGCACAAGCAGCGGAGCAUGUGGCUUAAUUCGAAGCAACGCGAAGAACCUUACCAGGGCUUGACAUAUGGGUGAA